rnacentral:rRNA from 1 species
AUGGACAGUAGGGUGACUAGGGUGACAAGAACAACCAGAAAAUAUGGAUUGAAUGGCGCGGUGAAAAUGGGUGCGCCAAAGAGUAAAGGAGGGAUGAGUUUUCUUGAUAUCCACGGUUUCAUCUUAGCAAUGUUGGAAAAGCAAGCAAUGAGGCUCGUUGAGAACCCAGAGUCCCUAUGUGUUCGUAUUAUUCAUGAGAAAUAUUAUUUGGAUGGCAACCUGUUAGAGGCGAAGCUCAAGAAGGGGCUGUCCUUUGCGUGGCAGGGUAACAUGGCUGGAGUAAAUGUGCUACGUCACAGUUAUAUCUGGAGAGCUGGGGAUGGACAGAAUAUUAAUAUAUGGGAGGAUGCAUGGAUACCAACAAUAAUGAUAGGAAAAUAA